GAAGAUCCGUUUUUUACAUUAGUGUCCCUUGCUGUGGCAAUUUGGUUGGAUGCCCGCUCUCCACUUGGGCCUGUGUUCUCCUCUUACUCAGAGUAUUUCUGCUUCAUAUAUAAUUUCUGAGAUAUAUAAUGGGAAAUGUAAAUACUCCAGUAAUUAUCUCCAAACAUCACAACUUCUGCCAAAAGGAUUACCACAUCCUUUAUCCUGCCUUACAGGGUGUAUCUCUAGGCUUUGAGAUCCCAUGGGCUCAAGAAACAAAUGAAAGAGAACAUCUCUGCCCAGCCAUAGAAGAAACUACCAGAUUCUGAAGUGGAACCACUUAUACCAGUGCAUCUACACCAAAAGGUGGAAUGAGAGUGGCUGCUUUUCUGGCAGCGUGGAGACGAACAUUAGAAAGAAGAUGCUGGAUUUGGGUAGCAUGAAGCAGUGACCGUGUGCCCCACACCCAGUGAGCAGCAAGAACCCCCUCUAGGACUGGUGGAGCUGGAACCAUCAUUAAAGGAUAAACUGCUCAUCUCAAACCAGAGGCAAUUAAGUGACAGAGGGUUCUAGAUCCGACGACUCUCAGCCUUUGACAGUGGCCAUAGCAAUAAAAACAGCUAUGCCAUGCAGAAUUGUCUUUGGCAUUGUCAGUCAUGUAUCUACACUUGUACCUACUGCUGAACGUUUGACUGUAAAAGGAGAAAACUGCAUGUGAAAUCAGAAAAAUGUUGCUACAACGUUUUAUCAAUUCCAGAACCACACUGCAUUUAUCAUGGAUACCAUGGAUUUGAUACCCUGACUCCCUAGUCACAUGACUGUGUGAAAUAA
rnacentral:lncRNA from 1 species